rnacentral:lncRNA from 1 species
GUUUCCAUUUUUUAAUCUUGUAUUCAUUAUUCAACCCAAUAAACUCUGUCUCUCAUCCUCAUCAAGCUGGAAAAUUGUUCUUCAAUCUCACUAAUGAGGCUCAUGUCGGCAUCAAGGGUAAUUUUUAAUUUUUUCAAUUUCCUGUCAAUAGUUGCUUGUUCUUUCUUGAUAUCAUCCUGCCUUUCAUUUUUAAAAUUUUUAGGUGACUUUAAAGGGAAAUGUUAAGAAAUUAUUGGACAUAUCUGGGUCUUGUUAUGAAGAAAGCAGUCCAAAAAUUAACUAUAGCUUUUUGAGUCAUUUACAUGUCUUUGGUAAUUGAGGCUAUGUAUGUGUGACAUUGAAAUUCUGAGUCUCAGGUAUGUCUUUACUACCAGCAUGAGAACAGACUAAUACACAAGCAUUUCAAAAAAUAUAUAGUGAAUACACAGCUUUUGACCUUUUGAAAUUUUUUUUAAAGAAAAUAAUUGCAUAAGUCAAAGUAUGUCACACAGAUAUUUUGUAGAUCGUAAAACAAGUCAUAGAAGUGUGCAAGUAUUGACUGGGCACGGUGGCUCACUCCUGUAAUCCCAGCACUUUGGGAGGCUGAGGCGGGCGGAUCACCAGGUCGGGAGAUGGAGACCAUCCUGGCUAACACGGUGAAAUCCCAUCUCUGGCCGGUCGUGGUGGCGGGUGCCUGUACUUCCAGCUACUCAGGAGGCUGAGGCAGGAGAAUGGCAUGAACCUGGGAGGCGGAGCUUGCAGUGAGCCAAGAUUGCACCACUGCAUUCCAGCCUGGGCAACAGAGCGAGAUUCCGU